CCUCCACCUGGUCUAGAAGAAGAUUUUGUAUUUAAAGGUUUUGAAUUUGCUGAUGAGUGAUGCAGUGUUUGAAUUAUGAUCAAUCACAGCCAAUUGGGUUCUUGCAACCAUGCCAUUGUAUGAAAAAUGAAGGCGUUUUGGAACAUAUUUCAAUAGUAAUGAAUGGUACACUUCCAGGUUGCCAGUGUGAUGGAAUUCUAUAAGUGCCAUACAUCAUAUUGGUGAAUAAUAUGAGGAUAUUUUUUCCGCAGCUCUGAUGUUAUUUGGAUGUGGCGAUCUGUGGUCAAUGAUCUAAUUUGGAUUUUUUCACCCAUGACAUUAUUCAAAGAUCUCUGGCAACCUUCAUUCUCCAUUGCAUUGGAAGAAGACACUUCAGAUACCUGUAUCAAAGAAAAAUCAACAAUUUUCCCACUGUUUUCUUCCAUCAGCGUGUGCUAUUAAUCACUGGAAAGACAAUUUCAUC